rnacentral:rRNA from 1 species
AGCGUGCGUAGGCGGCUUGGUAGGUGAGAUGUGAAAGCCCACGGCUCAACCGUGGAAUUGCGUUUCAAACCCCCAAGCUCGAGGAAGAUAGGGGUGAUGGGAACUUAUGGUGGAGCGGUGAAAUGCGUUGAUAUCAUAGGGAACACCGGUGGCGAAAGCGCAUCACUGGAUCUUUUCUGACGCUGAGGCACGAAAGCUAGGGUAGCGAACGGGAUUAGAUACCCCGGUAGUCCUAGCCGUAAACGAUGAACACUGGGUUGAGGGGACUUCCACAUCCUCUCGGCCGUAGCGAAAGCGUUAAGUGUUCCGCCUGGGGAGUAUGGUCGCAAGGCUGAAACUCAAAGGAUUUGACGGGGGCUCACACAAAUCACUAGUGAAUUCGCGGCCGCCUGCAGGUCGACCAUAUGGGAGAGCUCCCAACGCGUUGGAUGCAUAGCUUUGAGUAUUCUAUAGUGUCACCUAAAUAGCUUGGCGUAAUCAUGGUCAUA